CCACUGCUAUAGGUAUAUUGCAGUAGUUUUAAAACUGCUGCCAUAAGUCUAUAGUAGUGGUUGCUACAACCGCUGCUAAAUAUUUGUUGCAACAGUUGAUAACUGUUGCCAAUAACCUAUAGCAGUAGUUUUCGAAACCACUGCCAUAGGUUUGGGAAUUUUUUUUUCUUGCACCCUAUCUUCUUCAUCUUGCACUUCCCUCACUCUCUCUCUCUCCUCCCUAUCUGAAACCCUACCUACCCCCACCCAUAGCCAGCCCACCUGCUGCCACCCCCUCCCUCUAGCAUCGUUGCCAGC
rnacentral:lncRNA from 1 species